rnacentral:rRNA from 1 species
UACGUAGGUGGCAAGCGUUGUCCGGAUUUACUGGGCGUAAAGAGCGUGCAGGCGGCCAAGUCAGUCGAAUGUGAAAGCCCCCGGCUUAACUGGGGAGGGUCAUUCGAUACUGCUCGGCUCGAAGACAGGAGAGGGAAGCGGAAUUCCCGGUGUAGUGGUGAAAUGCGUAGAUAUCGGGAGGAACACCAGUGGCGAAGGCGGCUUUCUGGCCUGUUCUUGACGCUGAGGCGCGAAAGCUAGGGGAGCAAACGGG